rnacentral:rRNA from 1 species
UACGUAGGUGGCAAGCGUUGUCCGAAUUUACUGGGCGUCAAGAGCGCGCAGGCGGUCGUUCAAGUCGCGUGUGAAAGCCCCCGGCUCAACUGGGGAGGGUCACGCGAUACUGAUCGACUCGAAGGCAGGAGAGGGUAGUGGAAUUCCCGGUGUAGUGGUGAAAUGCGUAGAUAUCGGGAGGAACACCAGUGGCGAAGGCGACUACCUGGCCUGUUCUUGACGCUGAGGCGCGAAAGCUAGGGGAGCAAACGGG